UACGGGGGGAGCAAGCGUUGUUCGGAUUUACUGGGCGUAAAGGGCGCGUAGGCGGCCAGCACAAGUCAGUUGUGAAAUCUCCGAGCUUAACUCGGAACGGUCAACUGAUACUGUGCGGCUAGAGUGCGGAAGGGGCAACUGGAAUUCUUGGUGUAGCGGUGAAAUGCGCAGAUAUCAGGAGGAACACCGAUGGCGAAGGCAGCUCGCUGGGACGGUACUGACGCUGAGGCGCGAAAGCGUGGGGAGCGAACAGG
rnacentral:rRNA from 1 species